rnacentral:rRNA from 1 species
UACAGAGGGGGCAAGCGUUGUUCGGAAUUACUGGGCGUAAAGGGCGCGUAGGCGGCCUGUUAAGUCGGACGUGAAAUCCCCGGGCUCAACCCGGGAACUGCGUCCGAGACUGGCAGGCUUGAAUCCGGGAGAGGGAUGUGGAAUUCCAGGUGUAGCGGUGAAAUGCGUAGAUAUCUGGAGGAACACCGGUGGCGAAGGCGGCAUCCUGGACCGGUAUUGACGCUGAGGCGCGAAAGCCAGGGGAGCAAACGGG